UAAAUUUUGGAGAUGUUGUACCACUGACUU
rnacentral:piRNA from 1 species